UGCAUGUACCUGACAGUUUCGUGGCCUCUUCCUGGGAGAGGAUGGCCGCGAAGCCGUUGAGGGUGUGCUUGUAGCUGUACAGCAGCGACGCCCGUGCCUCUUCCUCACUGUCAGUCGAACCAUGCAUUUCAUAGAGCACGCGCGUGGGUGAGUGAGAUUGGUUGUGGGCUUAGAUAGAGUAUAGCAAGACCCAUGCAUGUUAUCGCCAGCCAUGCGGCCGCUGCUGGCUGCCUGCACGGUAGUAGCUACGUACCUGCCCUUGACGGAGAGCAGCAGCGUGCGAUGGUCCUCAAGGACCGCUUCCUCCGCCUUCGCGCCGCCGUGCUUGCCCAGACGGCACACUACUGGAGUCCGGCCGGCUUUGCCAGCGUAAUCAUCGAGCGAGAAAUCUGGAGGAAAUUGACAGGGACGGUGUGCACCGAGUGAAGAUGGCCGACCUUGUCUUGCUUUGUGGAGGCGGAGGCUGAGGCUUUGCAAAAGGAAGAAGAGAAGGCGAGGAAGAGGAGGAGGCUCGGCAAAGCCCACGUUGCUCUCAUCUUCUCCCUCUGAAUACGCCGCGUCAUGCCGGCCGAUGCGUAAAUCGGCGGCUCGGGAGCUUGUCUAUUUAUAUAGAGACAAUCAGAGGUGCGGCCAUGGAUAGGAGGAGAGCAGAGAGGCGCAGUCUGAAUGUCUGCCAAUGACUCAUACAUUAUUCUUAGUUAUACAUUGUUUUCGUAA